AUUGAACGCUGGCGGCGUGCUUAACACAUGCAAGUCGAUCGGUAACAGGUGUAGCAAUACAUGCUGACGAGAGGCGGACGGGUGAGUAAUGCUUGGGAAUCUGCCUAUUAGUGGGGGACGAACCCGGGAAACGUACGGGCGUAAUACCGCAUACGCUCUACGGAGGAAAGCCGGGGACCGCAAGGCCUGGCGCUAAUAGAUGAGCCCAAGUCGGAUUAGCUAGUUGGUAGGGUAACGGCCUACCAAGGCGACAAUCCGUAGCUGGUCUGAGAGGACGACCAGCCACACCGGAACUGAGACACGGUCCGGACUCCUACGGGAGGCAGCAGUGGGGAAGUAUUGGACAAUGGGGGCGAACCCUGAUCCAGCGACGCCGCGUGGGUGAA
rnacentral:rRNA from 1 species